GGUGCGUAAUACGUGAGAAUCUGCCUUUAGGAGGAGUAUAACUGUUGGAAACGACUGCUAACACUCCAUAUGUCGAGAGAUGAAAUAAUUUAUUGCCUAAAGAUGAGCUCGCGCCUGAUUAGCUAGUUGGUGAGGUAAUGGCUCACCAAGGCCACGAUCAGUAGCUGGUUUGAGAGAACGAUCAGCCACACUGGGACUGAGACACGGCCCAGACUCCUCCGGGAGGCAGCAGUGAGGAAUUUUCCGCAAUGGGCGAAAGCCUGACGGAGCAAUACCGCGUGAGGGAUGAAGGAUUUUGGUCUGUAAACCUCUUUUCUCAAGAAAGAAGUUCUGACGGUACUUGAGGAAUAAGCAUCGGCUAACUCCGUGCCAGCAGCCGCGGUAAUACGGGGGAUGCAAGCGUUAUCCGGAAUCAUUGGGCGUAAAGCGCCUGUAGGUUGUUUA
rnacentral:rRNA from 1 species